CGACAGAGUAAACUGAUUUGGAAAUUUGGAUCAGAUUUGACCAAAAGAAUUGCUGAAGUUGAACCGGGGACAUGUGGGACACAGGUAGGUAUUGAAAUAUUUGGCGAAACGGUCCGCACUCCGGUUCAGAAGGUGGCGGUAGUGCGCCACAGGCUGUUUACAUACCACCAUUAAACAAGAAGAAGAAGAAGGAGGAGGAGGCGGAGGAAGACGCAGCUGCAGCUAAAUAGACCAAAACAUCAUCAACAGCUGGACAUCAUGCCGAGAUCCAAAGAAAUUCACGAACAAAUGAGAGAAAAGGUAAUUGAGAUCCAUCAGUCUGGGAAAGGCUACAAAGCCACUUCUAAAGCCCUGGGACUCCAGCGAACCACAGUGAGAGCCAUUAUCCAGAAAUGGAGGAAAUAUGGGACAGUGGUGGACCUUCCCAGGAGUGGCCGGCCGACCAAAAUUACCCCGAGAGCCCAGAGACGACUCAUCCAAGAGGUCACAAAAGACCCCACGACAACGUCCAAAGAACUGCAGGCCUCGCUCGCCUCAGUUAAGGUCAGUGUUCACGACUCCACCAUCAGAAAGAGACUGCGCAAAAGUGGCCUGUAUGGAAGAGUUCAAAGACCAAAAUCACUGCUGGGCAAAAAGAACAUGAAGGCUGGUCUCAGUUUUGACAGAAAACAUCUGGACGAUCCCCAAGACUUUUGGGAAAAUGCUACGUAGACUGACGAGACAAAAGUUGAACCAAAUGAUCCAAACAAGCAAGUCCCCCUUUUAAUGGGCGAAGAAAACCAAAGUGAAGAUUUGGGAGAUGCUUAGUCUAAACUUGGGAUUCGUGUUUGAAAACCCUCCAACGUGACUGAAUUACAACAAUUCUGCAAAGAUGAGUGGGUGAAACUACCCAACCACUUAAUAGGUUUAGAGGGCAACUUGUUUACUGGUGUUAUCUUUGACUGAUAUUUAAAUUCAUUUGAUGAUGUGAAACACUUCAGUGUGACAAAUGUGCAAAAGAAAGAAAGAAAAAAAAACCUUUUCACACAACUCUCUACCAGAAGGCUUAUAUCAGAUAGAUGUAUGUGUUGUUAUUAACAGUAAUUUAUGCUUCUGUCGAUGCAGGACCCUCAAAUAACUUUUGCUCACUUCACAAAAAAAAGUGUGUGACUGACGAUGGAGGAAGCAAAGCAAAGCUGUGUGAAGCAAAGCAGGAGGCAAAGCAAAGCUGCUCUACAAACAUGCUGCCUGGGCGAGUUGUAAACUUGACUUUCUGUGCCCAGAGCGUUUUUGAAGCGGCCAUCACAGGCUCAUAAAGAUAAUCAUGCAGUAAGGUCAAUAUCGGUGCGGACGACGUUACGUCAACAAAAAUCGUUUACUUUAUAUUAUUUAUUCUCCACCCAUUUCCAAACACAGUGGCUGCAAAGACACCACGUCUUGAAAUAAGAUACUCACUCCAGGAUUCGAGUGGGAAAUGUCAGAAAGCUUUGGGUAGUUUCUUGAAAGCGUUCGGUGUUGUCCUGUGCAGCUUGACUGUAAAACACAUAGUACUUUUAUUCAAGUGCAGGCUCUUGAAAACAUAAUGUGGUUAUAGUAGGUUUAUUCUUAUAACGACAGUUAUUGUUGUUUUGUACAUCCCAUCAGUGCCUAUUAUAUACAUUUGUGUUAGCUGCUGUGGAGUUGUGUUAGUGAUGUACGUAUGGAAUAAUUGCCGGCACUACACUUGUUGUAUAUGGUAAAACUUAAAUAAAUUUGAUU